rnacentral:rRNA from 1 species
GCGCAGCAGUCGCGAAAACUUCACACUGUGCGAAAGCACGAUGAGGGAAUCCCAAGUGCUUGCACGUAAGUGUAAGCUGUUUCUCUGUCUAAAACGCAGAGAGAGUAAGGGCUGGGUAAGACGGGUGCCAGCCGCCGCGGUAAUACCUGCAGCUCAAGUGGUGACCGUUAUUAUUGGGCCUAAAACGUCCGUAGCCGGUUUAAUAAAUGCCUGGGUAAAUUGUGUAGCUUAACUAUACGAAUUCCGGGUAGACUGUUAAACUUGAGACCGGGAGAAGUUAGAGGUACUCCUGGGGUAGAGGUGAAAUUCUGUAAUCCUAGGGGACCACCAGUGGCGAAGGCGUCUAACUAGAACGGGUCUGACGGUGAGGGACGAAGCCCUGGGGCGCAAACGGGAUUAGAUACCGU